rnacentral:rRNA from 1 species
CCUACGGGGGGCAGCAGUCGAGAAUUUUUCUCAAUGGGGGAAACCCUGAAGGAGCGACGCCGCGUGGGGGAUGAAUGGCUUCGGCCCGUAAACCCCUGUCAUUUGCGAUCAAACCUUACAACCUAAUACGUUGUGAGCUGAUAGUAGCGGAAGAGGAAGGGACGGCUAACUCUGUGCCAGCAGCCGCGGUAAUACAGAGGUCCCAAGCGUUGUUCGGAUUCACUGGGCGUAAAGGGUGCGUAGGCGGUCGGGUAAGUCUGACGUGAAAUCUUCAAGCUCAACUUGGAAACUGCGUCGGAUACUAUUCGGCUAGAGGAAUGGAGGGGAGACUGGAAUACUUGGUGUAGCAGUGAAAUGCGUAGAUAUCAAGUGGAACACCAGUGGCGAAGGCGAGUCUCUGGACAUUUCCUGACGCUGAGGCACGAAAGCCAGGGGAGCAAACGGGAUUAGAUACCCUAGUAGUC